GAUGAACGCUGGCGGCGUGCUUAACACAUGCAAGUCGAACGGUGAACGAGGGAGCUUGCUCCCUCCGGAUCAGUGGCGAACGGGUGAGUAACACGUGAGCAAUCUGCCCUGGACUCUGGGAUAAGCGUUGGAAACGACGUCUAAUACCGGAUACGAGACGCGAAGGCAUCUUCAGCGUCUGGAAAGAACUUCGGUCCAAGAUGAGCUCGCGGCCUAUCAGGUAGUUGGUGAGGUAACGGCUCACCAAGCCUACGACGGGUAGCCGGCCUGAGAGGGUAACCGGCCACACUGGGACUGAGACACGGCCCAGACUCCUACGGGAGGCAGCAGUGGGGAAUAUUGCACAAUGGGCGCAAGCCUGAUGCAGCAACGCCGCGUGAGGGACGACGGCCUUCGGGUUGUAAACCUCUUUUAGCAGGGAAGAAGCGAAAGUGACGGUACCUGCAGAAAAAGCACCGGCUAACCACGUGCCAGCCGCCGCCGUAAUAC
rnacentral:rRNA from 1 species